GACGAACGCUGGCGGCGUGCUUAACACAUGCAAGUCGAGCGGAAAGGCCCUUCGGGGUACUCGAGCGGCGAACGGGUGAGUAACACGUGAGUAACCUGCCCCAGACUUUGGGAUAACCCUCGGAAACGGGGGCUAAUACCGGAUACGACACAGCUUCGCAUGGGGUCUGUGUGGAAAGUUUUUCGGUUUGGGAUGGGCUCGCGGCCUAUCAGCUUGUUGGUGGGGUGAUGGCCUACCAAGGCGACGACGGGUAGCCGGCCUGAGAGGGCGACCGGCCACACAGGGACUGAACCACGGCCCAGACUCCUACGGGAGGCAGCAGUGGGGAAUAUUGCACAAUGGGCGGAAGCCUGAUGCAGCGACGCCGCGUGAGGGAUGACGGCCUUCGGGUUGUAAACCUCUUUCAGCAGGGACGAAGCGUAAAUGACGGUACCUGCAGAAGAAGCGCCGGCCAACUACGUG
rnacentral:rRNA from 1 species